UCUUCUACCUGGCCUCUGCCUCCUUUGGAUCUUUUUGCGGUCUGGGCUUGCUGUUUGUCUAAUCAGUAGCCAGGAAGCCCUUACCCCAAAAAGUAUCUACAGGGGGCCCUGUCAACGGAGUGGCCCCCUGAGGGUUCCAGGUAAGCAACA
rnacentral:miRNA from 1 species